rnacentral:rRNA from 1 species
AACUGUAGUGUCGUAUCUUUCCCUAAGGAUUGUGGGCCCCCACGGCCCACAACCAUAUUUCCUGGGGUACUCCACAAAUACAUGAAAGGAUGCCGGGCCCGCCCAGCGUGGGAGCAUGUGUUUAAUCGAAGCACGGGAGACCUUACCAGUCUUGACAUCGAUGCGUACCGUAACGGGUAUUUCUCGGGACAUCGAGACAGGUGGUGCAUGGUGUCGUCAGCUCGUGUCGUGAGAUGUGGGUAAGUCCCGCAACGAGCGCAACCCUUGUCCCCAGUAGCCAGCGGCAAGGCCGGGCACUCUGAGGAGACCGCCAGGGACAACGUGGAGGAAGACGGGGAUGACGUCAAAUCAUCAUGCCCCUUAUGAUCUGGGCUACACACGUGCUACAAUGGUGUCUGACAGAGAGAAGCGAGUCUGCGAGGAGGAGCGAAUCUCAAAAACGGCAUCUCAGUUCGGACUGCAGGCUGCAACCCGACUGCACGAAGCUGGAAUCGCUAGUAAUCGCGAAUCAGCAUGUCGCGGUGAAUACGUUCCCGGGUCUUGUACACACCGCCCGUCACACCAUGGGAGUUGGCAACACCCGAAGUCAGUGACCCAACCCGCAAGGGAGGGAGCUGCCUAAGGUGGGGCGAAUGACUGGGGUGAAGUCGUAACAAGGUAGCCGUAUCGGAAGGUGC